GUGGUGAUGUUGUCGUUCAUUAUCGUGGUGUCUUGUCUUAGUUCUUGUACUGCAGUGAUGUGGUCCUGGUUCCAUUUUUGUUGUUGUUCGAGGAGUCUUCCAUGUUCUGCUUGCGUAUUCUGGAUGUCGAGGAGGGUGUUGUCGGUACGGGUGAAGAAAGCGCUGGCCUCUUGGUAGUAGUCGUUCGUGAAAGCAUAAGAGGCGUCGGAGUAUCGUCCUACAUCGAAUUAGGGCGGAGGUCUCGACCCUGAAGCUCCAUAU
rnacentral:lncRNA from 1 species